AUUGAACGCUGGCGGCAUGCUUUACACAUGCAAGUCGAACGGUAACAGGCCGCAAGGUGCUGACGAGUGGCGAACGGGUGAGUAAUGCAUCGGAACGUGCCCAGUCGUGGGGGAUAACGCAGCGAAAGCUGCGCUAAUACCGCAUACGAUCUCUGGAUGAAAGCGGGGGGCCGAAAGGCCUCGCGCGAUUGGAGCGGCCGAUGUCAGAUUAGGUAGUUGGUGGGGUAAAGGCCCACCAAGCCAACGAUCUGUAGCUGGUCUGAGAGGACGACCAGCCACACUGGGGUUGAGACACGGCCCAGACUCCUACGGGAGGCAGCAGUGGGGAAUUUUGGACAAUGGGCGCAAGCCUGAUCCAGCAAUGCCGCGUGCAGGAAGAAGGCCUUCGGGUUGUAAACUGCUUUUGUACGGAACGAAACGGUCCGGGUUAAUACCCUGGGCUAAUGACGGUACCGUAAGAAUAAGCACCGGCUAACUACGUGCCAGCAGCCGCCGUAAUAC
rnacentral:rRNA from 1 species